AGAGUUUGAUCCUGGCUCAGGACGAACGCUGGCGGCGUGCUUAACACAUGCAAGUCGAGCGAGGCCCACCUUUCGGGGUGGUGUUCUAGCGGCGAACGGGUGAGUAACACGUGGGCAACCUGCCCUCAGCUCUGGGAUAACUCCAAGAAAUUGGGGCUAAUACCGGAUAUGACUGCUGACCGCAUGGUCUGGUGGUGGAAAGAUUUAUCGGCUGGGGAUGGGCCCGCGGCCUAUCAGCUUGUUGGUGGGGUAGUGGCCUACCAAGGCGACGACGGGUAGCCGGCCUGAGAGGGUGACCGGCCACACUGGGACUGAGACACGGCCCAGACUCCUACGGGAGGCAGCAGUGGGGAAUAUUGCGCAAUGGGCGGAAGCCUGACGCAGCGACGCCGCGUGGGGGAUGACGGCCUUCGGGUUGUAAACCUCUUUCAGCAGGGACGAAGCGAAAGUGACGGUACCUGCAGAAGAAGCACCGGCCAACUACGUGCCAGCAGCCGCGGUAAUACGUAGGGUGCAAGCGUUGUCCGGAAUUAUUGGGCGUAAAGAGCUCGUAGGCGGUUUGUUGCGUCGGCUGUGAAAUCCCGAGGCUCAACCUCGGGUCUGCAGUCGAUACGAGCAAACUAGAGUGUUGCAGGGGAGACUGGAAUUCCUGGUGUAGCGGUGAAAUGCGCAGAUAUCAGGAGGAACACCGGUGGCGAAGGCGGGUCUCUGGGCAACAACUGACGCUGAGGAGCGAAAGCGUGGGGAGCGAACAGGAUUAGAUACCCUAGUAGUCC
rnacentral:rRNA from 1 species